AAUGGGCGCAGGCCUAAUCCAGCCAUUCCGCGUGCAGGAUGAAGGCCUUCGGGUUGUAAACUGCUUUUGUACGGAACGAAACGGUCUGCCCUAAUACGGCGGGCUAAUGACGGUACCGUAAGAAUAAGCACCGGCUAACUACGUGCCAGCAGCCGCGGUAAUACGUGGGGUGCAAGCGUUAAUCGGAAUUACUGGGCGUAAAGCGUGCGCAGGCGGUUAUAUAAGACAGAUGUGAAAUCCCCGGGCUCAACCUGGGAACUGCAUUUGUGACUGUAUGGCUAGAGUACGGCAGAGGGGGAUGGAAUUCCGCGUGUAGCAGUGAAAUGCGUAGAUAUGCGGAGGAACACCGAUGGCGAAGGCAGCCCCCUGGGUCGAUACUGACGCUCAUGCACGAAAGCGUGGGGAGCAAA
rnacentral:rRNA from 1 species